CCCAGCACCGAAGCCUGUAGCCAUUUGGUUACUAGGCAAUGUGGUGUUCAGGUCGUUCCGCGGAGGUUCUGCUCCACCCUAAGUCCAUCAAUGAGUACGGUAUUAUGGACAUGGCCCACAGAGGGUGAAAGGCCCGUGGGGGUGGAGAUUCGGUAGGACAGAAUCUCUCUGGGUAGACCUUGGAGUCGGGUUGUUUGUGAAUGCAGCCCAAAGUGGGUGGUAAACUCCAUCCAAGGCUAAAUACUUGCACGAGUCCGAUAGCGAACAAGUACCGUGAGGGAAAGUUGAAAAGUACUUUGAAGAGAGAGUAAACAGUGCGUGAAACCGCUCAGAGGUAAACGGGUGGAGUUGAACUGCAAGCUCUGGGAAUUCAACUGGUGAGUGUGGUUUGAGCUUGGUCAAAUUGGUGGACAUUGGGGUCUGCGUAGUAGCAGGUCUUCGCCUUCGGGUGGGGAUGCGCGAUGCACUUAUCAAGUGUUGUGCGCCUCGGUGGUUUCCCGGCCAACUCGCUAGUGCACUUUCUCAGAGUGGUCACCACGACCGGCGCCGCUGUCUGGCCUCUAUGGUUAAACCGGUUUCGCAUAGUCCCUGUGGCUUUGCUUAGUCGGGAUGGCAGGUAGCUCGUUGACUUGCUUGUGGUUCGCUGCAAGUGUGGUUUUCGAGUGUAAUCAGCUGACUGUAGUGGUUCUGUGCAGUGUGUCGGAGACGGCGGCUUGAGGUGUGUGCAUGCGUAGUUGUUUUGCUGACUGGUUCGAGUUUGGUUAUUUUGUUGCCUGUUUAUGCAGGUCUGGUAGUAGCUCGGAUUAGUUCGGCUGGCGACUGCGUGUGUGGCAUUGUUCCAAGGGCCAACAGUCUGUGGUGUAGUGGU
rnacentral:rRNA from 1 species